AUUUUGGACAAUGGGCGAAAGCCUGAUCCAGCAAUGCCGCGUGAGUGAGGAAGGCCUUCGGGUUGUAUAGCUUUUUUGUCAGGGAAGAAACGGUGAGAGCUAAUAUCCCUUGCUAAUGACGGUACCUGAAGAAUAAGCCCCUGCUAACUACGUGCUGGCAGCCGCGGUAAUACGUAGGGUGCAAGCGUUAAUCGGAAUUACUGGGCGUAAAGCGUGCGCAGGCGGUUUUGUAAGUCUGAUGUGAAAUCCCCGGGCUCAACCUGGGAAUUGCAUUGGAGACUGCAAGGCUAGAAUCUGGCAGAGGGGGGUAGAAUUCCACGUGUAGCAGUGAAAUGCGUAGAUAUGUGGAGGAACACCGAUGGCGAAGGCAGCCCCCUGGGUCAAGAUUGACGCUCAUGCACGAAAGCGUGGGGAGCAAACAGG
rnacentral:rRNA from 1 species